rnacentral:rRNA from 1 species
AUUGAACGCUGGCGGCAGGCCUAACACAUGCAGAGUCGAGCGCACCUUCGGGUGAGCGGCGGACGGGUUAGUAACGCGUGGGAAUAUGCCCAAAGGUACGGAAUAGCCUCUGGAAACGGAGAGUAAUACCGUAUGUGCCCUUCGGGGGAAAGAUUUAUCGCCUUUGGAUUAGCCCGCGUCUGAUUAGAUAGUUGGUGGGGUAACGGCCUACCAAGUCGACGAUCAGUAGCUGGUUUGAGAGGAUGAUCAGCAACACUGGGACUGAGACACGGCCCAGACUCCUACGGGAGGCAGCAGUGGGGAAUCUUAGACAAUGGGCGCAAGCCUGAUCUAGCCAUGCCGCGUGAGUGACGAAGGUCUUAGGAUCGUAAAGCUCUUUCGCCAGGGAUGAUAAUGACAGUACCUGGUAAAGAAACCCCGGGCUAACUCCGU